AAAUUGAAGAGUUUGAUCAUGGCUCAGAUUGAACGCUGGCGGCAGGCCUAACACAUGCAAGUCGAACGGUAACAGGAAGCAGCUUGCUGCUUCGCUGACGAGUGGCGGACGGGUGAGUAAUGUCUGGGAAACUGCCUGAUGGAGGGGGAUAACUACUGGAAACGGUAGCUAAUACCGCAUAAUGUCGCAAGACCAAAGAGGGGGACCUUCGGGCCUCUUGCCAUCGGAUGUGCCCAGAUGGGAUUAGCUUGUUGGUGGGGUAACGGCUCACCAAGGCGACGAUCCCUAGCUGGUCUGAGAGGAUGACCAGCCACACUGGAACUGAGACACGGUCCAGACUCCUACGGGAGGCAGCAGUGGGGAAUAUUGCACAAUGGGCGCAAGCCUGAUGCAGCCAUGCCGCGUGUAUGAAGAAGGCCUUCGGGUUGUAAAGUACUUUCAGCGGGGAGGAAGGGAGUAAAGUUAAUACCUUUGCUCAUUGACGUUACCCGCAGAAGAAGCACCGGCUAACUCCGUGCCAGCAGCCGCGGUAAUACGGAGGGUGCAAGCGUUAAUCGGAAUUACUGGGCGUAAAGCGCACGCAGGCGGUUUGUUAAGUCAGAUGUGAAAUCCCCGGGCUCAACCCGGGAACUGCAUCUGAUACUGGCAAGCUUGAGUCUCGUAGAGGGGGUAGAAUUCCAGGUGUAGCGGUGAAAUGCGUAGAGAUCUGGAGGAAUACCGGUGGCGAAGGCGGCCCCCUGGACGAAGACUGACGCUCAGGUGCGAAAGCGUGGGGAGCAAACAGGAUUAGAUACCCUGGUAGUCCACGCCGUAAACGAUGUCGACUUGGAGGUUGUGCCCUUGAGGCGUGGCUUCCGGAGCUAACGCGUUAAGUCGACCGCCUGGGGAGUACGGCCGCAAGGUUAAAACUCAAAUGAAUUGACGGGGGCCCGCACAAGCGGUGGAGCAUGUGGUUUAAUUCGAUGCAACGCGAAGAACCUUACCUGGUCUUGACAUCCACAGAACUUUCCAGAGAUGGAUUGGUGCCUUCGGGAACUGUGAGACAGGUGCUGCAUGGCUGUCGUCAGCUCGUGUUGUGAAAUGUUGGGUUAAGUCCCGCAACGAGCGCAACCCUUAUCCUUUGUUGCCAGCGGUCCGGCCGGGAACUCAAAGGAGACUGCCAGUGAUAAACUGGAGGAAGGUGGGGAUGACGUCAAGUCAUCAUGGCCCUUACGACCAGGGGCUACACACGUGCUACAAUGGCGCAUACAAAGAGAAGCGACCUCGCGAGAGCAAGCGGACCUCAUAAAGUGCGUCGUAGUCCGGAUUGGAGUCUGCAACUCGACUCCAUGAAGUCGGAAUCGCUAGUAAUCGUGGAUCAGAAUGCCACGGUGAAUACGUUCCCGGGCCUUGUACACACCGCCCGUCACACCAUGGGAGUGGGUUGCAAAAGAAGUAGGUAGCUUAACCUUCGGGAGGGCGCUUACCACUUUGUGAUUCAUGACUGGGGUGAAGUCGUAACAAGGUAACCGUAGGGGAACCUGCGGUUGGAUCACCUCCUUA
rnacentral:rRNA from 1 species